UGGUGCUUGCAAGAGUGACGAGAAUUUCAUCUUCACCCUAGGGGUCCGAGAGGCUUGCAGCUCCAGGCACAGGGGGAUCGGAGAUCAGGUGCUCUCGAGCACAUCACCACCAGGGAAACACGAUCCAUCAACAAAUCUUUCCUCCUGCACUGCGACCUUUUGCUAGCACCAUGGAGCUCAAUGCUAGCACUAGAAAUCUGACGGCGACGAGCUCACCCUACUAUUCAAAAGAUGCAUUCAUUAUCAGCUCUGGAGCUUCUCAUCAUCUCACAGGGAACAUUCUGCUCUUCGAUCAAGAAAGCUUGUUCCAGUACUAUGACACCCUCAAGGUGGGCAAUGCUUAUCCGAUGGACAUAGUGGGAUUUGGAUCCAUAACCCGCCCCAGUCUCACGCUUCCGGAUGUCAGAUACGUGCCCGGGCUCAAAGUUAACGCCGUGUCUAUCGGGCAGCUUUCUGCAAUGGAUUACGACGUCUUGUUUAUCAAGAACGGGGGGUGCGUGGUGAAGGAGAGGCUUGGCGGCGAGGUGGUCGGCGAAGCCACCCUUCUGAAUGGCUUGUACAUGGUCGAUUAUUUGCGGAUUCCUCUAGACCGCAUCUGCUUACCCGACUACGAAACAGUUGAGGCUGCUCUCGGGUUCUUGUAGGAGCUAGGGCCGCACUGCAACCCUUGGCUCUUCAUCACGGCCGGCAACUACGACAUGGGUUAUAUUAUGAGGAACAUAUCUUUGAAGGCGCAAGGAAUGUGUUGCCUGUUGUAUUAGAGAAACAUUUUUAGCAUAUAUAAUAAUACAGUGCGUGCUAGCUUAUGGGGCACUUUAGAAGAGGGAGAAAAAUUGCCUGGGUCUGUUUGGAUGGAGGGGUAAAUGGAGUAAAAAGGGUAAAAAAAGGUA